rnacentral:rRNA from 1 species
UACGAAGGGUGCUAGCGUUGCUCGGAAUCACUGGGCGUAAAGGGUGCGUAGGCGGGUUUUUAAGUCAGGGGUGAAAUCCUGGAGCUCAACUCCAGAACUGCCUUUGAUACUGAAGAUCUUGAGUUCGGGAGAGGUGAGUGGAACUGCGAGUGUAGAGGUGAAAUUCGUAGAUAUUCGCAAGAACACCAGUGGCGAAGGCGGCUCACUGGCCCGAUACUGACGCUGAGGCACGAAAGCGUGGGGAGCAAGCAGG